rnacentral:rRNA from 1 species
AGAGUUUGAUCCUGGCUCAGGAUGAACGCUAGCGGGAGGCUUAACACAUGCAAGUCGAGGGGUAGAGUAAGUAGCAAUACGAGCUUGAGACCGGCGCACGGGUGAGUAACGCGUAUGCAACCUGCCCUUUACAGGGGGAUAGCCCGGAGAAAUCCGGAUUAAUACCCCAUAGGCCUGUAACCUCGCAUGGGGCAUCAGGUAAAGCUUCGGUGGUAAAGGAUGGGCAUGCGUGACAUUAGCUUGUUGGCGGGGUAACGGCCCACCAAGGCAUCGAUGUCUAGGGGUUCUGAGAGGAAGGUCCCCCACACUGGUACUGAGACACGGACCAGACUCCUACGGGAGGCAGCAGUGAGGAAUAUUGGUCAAUGGGCGAGAGCCUGAACCAGCCAUCCCGCGUGCAGGAAGAAGGCCCUAUGGGUUGUAAACUGCUUUUGUGCAAGAAGAAAAGUAUCCUCGAGCAGGGUAUUUGACGGUAUUGCGUGAAUAAGCACCGGCUAACUCCGUGCCAGCAGCCGCGGUAAUACGGAGGGUGCAAGCGUUAUCCGGAUUUAUUGGGUUUAAAGGGUGCGUAGGCGGUAUAUUAAGUCAGUGGUGAAAUCCUGCAGCUUAACUGUAGAUGUGCCAUUGAAACUGAUGUACUUGAGUUAUCUUGAGGUAGGCGGAAUGUGUAGUGUAGCGGUGAAAUGCUUAGAUAUUACACAGAACACCGAUUGCGAAGGCAGCUUACUAAGGGUAUACUGACGCUGAGGCACGAAAGCGUGGGGAUCGAACAGGAUUAGAUACCCUGGUAGUCCACGCCGUAAACGAUGAUGACUCGCUGUUGGCGAUAUACCGUUCAGCGGCUUAGUGAAAGCGUUAAGUCAUCCACCUGGGGAGUACGCUCGCAAGAGUGAAACUCAAAGGAAUUGACGGGGGCCCGCACAAGCGGAGGAACAUGUGGUUUAAUUCGAUGAUACGCGAGGAACCUUACCUGGGCUUAAAUGUGCAGUGACAGCCGGUGAAAGCUGGUCUUCCGCAAGGACGCUGUACAAGGUGCUGCAUGGUUGUCGUCAGCUCGUGCCGUGAGGUGUCGGGUUAAGUCCCAUAACGAGCGCAACCCUUGCCAUUAGUUGCUACAUUCAGUUGGGCACUCUAAUGGGACCGCCGGUGACAAACCGGAGGAAGGUGAGGAUGACGUCAAGUCCUCAUGGCCCUUAUGGGUAGGGCUUCACACGUAAUACAAUGGUCGGUACAGAGGGCUGCCAACCCGCGAGGGGGAGCUAAUCCCAGAAAGCCGAUCGUAGUCCGGAUUGUAGUCUGCAACUCGACUGCAUGAAGCCGGAAUCGCUAGUAAUCGCGGAUCAGCAUGUCGCGGUGAAUACGUUCCCGGGUCUUGUACACACCGCCCGUCACACCAUGGGAGUGGGUUCCACCAGAAGUAGUUAGCCUAACCGCAAGGAGGGCGAUUACCACGGUGAGAUUCAUGACUGGGGUGAAGUCGUAACAAGGUAACC